rnacentral:rRNA from 1 species
AACCUCCGCAAUGUGAGAAAUCGCGACGGGGGGAUCCCAAGUGCCAUUCCUAACGGGAUGGCUUUUCAUUAGUGUAAAGAGCUUUUGGAAUAAGGGCUGGGCAAGACCGGUGCCAGCCGCCGCGGUAACACCGGCAGCUCUAGUGGUAGCAGUUUUUAUUGGGCCUAAAGCGUCCGUAGCCGGUUUAAUAAGUCUCUGGUGAAAUCCUGUAGCUUAACUGUGGGAAUUGCUGGAGAUACUAUUAGACUUGAGACCGGGAGAGGUUAGAGGUACUCCCAGGGUAGAGGUGAAAUUCUGUAAUCCUGGGAGGACCGCCUGUUGCGAAGGCGUCUAACUGGAACGGUUCUGACGGUGAGGGACGAAAGUUAGGGGCGCGAACCGGAUUAGAUACCCGGGUAGUCCUAACUGUAAACGAUGCGGACUUGGUGUUGGGAUGGCUUUGAGCCGCUCCGGUGCCGAAGGGAAGCUGUUAAGUCCGCCGCCUGGGAAGUACGGUCGCAAGAACGAAACUUAAAGGAAUU